rnacentral:lncRNA from 1 species
CUGCCUCAUCUCAUAUUUGAUCAUGUAUCUUUCUUCCUAGAAUCCCCCUGCUGUGUCUUCCUGCCUCUUUUCUGGCACCGCUCUCCUGGUGUUGGCACUCGGUGAGGACAUAGUUAGAAUUGUAAACAUGGCCACAGAUUGGAUAUGGGAGUCAAAUGCGAAGAGGAGGUCAUAUUCACUCCAAGGUACUAGACCUGGAACCAAAGAAAGAAAAGGCCAAAGAAUGCUCAAAACUACCACACAAUUGCACUUAUCUCACAUACUAGUAAAGUAACGCUCAAAAUUCUCCAAGCCAGC